AUUGAACGCUGGCGGCAGGCUUAACACAUGCAAGUCGAGCGGGGGAAGGUAGCUUGCUACCGGACCUAGCGGCGGACGGGUGAGUAAUGCUUAGGAAUCUGCCUAUUAGUGGGGGACAACAUCUCGAAAGGGAUGCUAAUACCGCAUACGUCCUACGGGAGAAAGCAGGGGAUCUUCGGACCUUGCGCUAAUAGAUGAGCCUAAGUCGGAUUAGCUAGUUGGUGGGGUAAAGGCCUACCAAGGCGACGAUCUGUAGCGGGUCUGAGAGGAUGAUCCGCCACACUGGGACUGGGACACGGCCCAGACUCCGACGGGAGGGAGCAGGGGGGAAAAUUGGACAAUGGGGGGAACCCUGAUCCAGCCAUGCCGCGUGUGUGAAGAAGGCCUUAUGGUUGUAAAGCACUUUAAGCGAGGAGGAGGCUACUUUAGUUAAUACCUAGAGAUAGUGGACGUUACUCGCAGAAUAAGCACCGGCUAACUCUGUGCCAGCAGCCGCGGUAA
rnacentral:rRNA from 1 species